rnacentral:rRNA from 1 species
GACGAACGCUGGCGGCGUGCCUAAUACAUGCAAGUAGAACGCAGUUGAGAACGGGUGAGUAACGCGUAGGUAACCUGCCUCAUAGCGGGGGAUAACUCUUGGAAACGCUAGCUACUCUCGCAUACUGUGAGAUGGACCUGCGUUGUCUUAGCUAGUUGGAGAGGUAAAGGCUCACCAAGGCGACGAUACAUCGCCGACCUGAGGGGGUGAUCGGCCACACUGGGACGUAGACACGGCCCAGACGCCUACGUGAGGCAGCAGUAGGGAAUCUUCGGCAAUGGACGAAAGUCUGACCGUGCAACGCCGCGUGAGUGAAGAAGGUGUUCGGAUCGUAAAGCUAUGUUGUUAGAGACGCGGUACCUAACCAGAAAGGGACGGCUAACUACGUGCCAGCAGCCGCGGUAAUAC